GUUCGGUGACGAGUCCCAAACAGGACGAAAUGCGCAUUUUGGAU
rnacentral:hammerhead_ribozyme from 1 species